GAUUUGAAGCUAAAUAGUAUAAUAAUUAGUUAAAUUGUUAUUACAGAAAAUUGGAAAUGAGGACUGUGGGCAACUAGUUUGCUUCAUUGCAUAGUCAGAAGCACCGGCUUGGGGGCGGGGGGCGAGUGCCCCACCUAAUAUUCCCGAUGACUUUGGUCUCAAUAUCUGUAGCUUGAAAAAAUCAGUCAUAUAAAACAGUGCGUAUGUAUGUGUUUUGGGGUGUUUUGCUCCCCCCAAAAUAAAAUCCUAUCGGCGCCAUUGUACAUAAUGUAUGCUUUACUUACGUGCAGUUGGCUGGUGGCCAUCCGAAUUUUCAUUCUUUGUUGAUAUAAUGAGCUUUUUCACCGAAUCGAACGAUGAAGAAUGCAUGAUUUUCGUGUUUGUCUGUCUCAAGAGUUCCACAACGGAAUUUUGUAUUUUCAGCUGAAUUCCAAACUCAUUCAUCAACUGUGAACAAUGCCUCGUUACAUUUUCACACAUGGAUCGACAUGGUUGCAAUACUUCACCAUUAUCACAAACAGGAGCAUAAAGGGAACACAAGAAAAAACGAAAAUAUUGUGAACAACCUGCUUCAAUGAAUGGAGUAAAUUCAUCCAAUGCCGAAGCAACUUCUUUUUGUGUUUUAUGGUUAAAUCUGUUAGGUAGUAAAAUCGAGUCAUAACCCAAUUUCCGGCACGUUGAUAUUGUUAACGCCUCACAAUCCGAAGCUUUAGCCAAGCAUGUUUUAUCACUAAAUGAAGCAAUUAAUGCUAUACUUAUCAUGCAACAUUGUGCUCCGUAGAAUAUUUUGUUAGUAAUGUUCAGCCAUAUUUGUUUCCCCAUCGUCUUUUUUUUAAAAAACAUGCUUUAUUGCUUCUCACAAUAGUUAACGUACCACAAUAAACUGAUGACAGCAACAUUACAUGUAUUUCAAUUGAUUAUCAUAAGAUUACAAGAGUCACUUACA